CAGUAGCCGCGGGAAUACGAGGGGGGCAAGCGUUGUUCGGAAUUAUUGGGCGUAAAGGGCGCGUAGGCGGUUUGACAAGUCUGAUGUGAAAUCUAUGGGCUCAACCCAUAGCCUGCAUUAGAAACUGUCGGGCUUGAGUAUGGGAGAGGUGAGUGGAAUUUCCGGUGUAGCGGUGAAAUGCGUAGAUAUCGGAAGGAACACCUGUGGCGAAAGCGGCUCACUGGACCAUAACUGACGCUGAGGCGCGAAAGCUAGGGGAGCAAACAGGAUUAGAUACCCGAGUAGUCCCUGUCUCUUAUAC
rnacentral:rRNA from 1 species